UUCCAGGAUGUCGUGGACGUAUCUUCUCCAGAGUGUGGGUCUGCAGAGCAGGGAUGGCUUUGGUUUCCAGGUCCUCCAUGAAAAAGUUACUCAUUAUGGCUGAAAGUGGAUCUUUUUUUCAACUUUAUUUUACCAGCAUUAAAACUUUGUCUGCAGAGAGAAAAGAACGACUCCGUUUUUUGCCAGACUGGAGGAUGUUGGAGGGAGUCUGUUAAUCUCUCUGGACCUGACAUUUGAAAACCUCCACCUCUCCUCACCCUCCCAGCCCACUGAUGUGAGGAAAUCCAGCUCUGAACAGACUGAACUUCUAAAUCCCUCCUGGAAGCUUCACCCUGAACAGACAACUGCAACGCCGUGGUAACGGGCAGAUUACAGACGGAUCUAAGACCCGACCGGCCUCUGGGGCGGCGUUUGGUGAAGUUAUCUCUGGAGGCUGCUGGAGGAUAAAUGUGGAGAUCUGCAGAUAGAAGCCAAGAAGAUGAACGGAGCUGGAGAGGAAGAAGAUCUACAGUGGUGUUCAAAAUAAUAGCAGUCCCACAUCACUUUAUCAGGACCGUCAGUGUUGAUUUAACUUAUUUCUGUAAGUUAUACCUUGAAAAAAGAAACGGGGUGCUGGGGGGAGGAGGGGAGCAGGGCCGUGCAGAGACCUUUGGAGGGGCAGGUGCUCAAAGUUAAAAGGGGGCACAUGGAGCAAGAAUUUGAAACAUCAUACAGAAACAUAACUCAUAAUACAAGGUGCAGCAGUGGCUAAGUCUCAGGACUGCUGAUCAGAAGGUCAUUGGUUCAAACUCUGACCUGUGAUGUAGUGUAUUUGAGAAAAAUUAUUAUUUUGAAGCUGAAUUUACAUCACCAUUAGACACUGGACUGUUUAACUGUGGCUACUGUUCCUGGAGUCCUUGCUUUUAAAUUUCAUACCUUUUCCAGACAUGUACUGUAGAGCCACGGAUUUGCUCCAUGGUGCUGAUUCAUAAUCUGCCCUUUAUUAUUCGUAGUGCUAAUAAUAAGUUUAAAAACAAUUAAAUGAUAUAGAAAUCAUGUAUUUAAAUGUAUUUGUACUUUUAU